CCUACGGGUGGCAGCAGUCGAGAAUUAUUCACAAUGGGGGAAACCCUGAUGGUGCGACGCCGCGUGGGGGAAUGAAGGUCUUCGGAUUGUAAACUCUGGUCAUGGGGGAGAAAAUUAAAAAGAUAGUAGCACAAGACGAAGAGACAGCUAACUCUGUGACAGCAGCCGCGGUAAUACAGAGGUCUCAAGUGUUGUUCGGAAUGAUUGGGCGGAAAGGGUGCGCAGGCGGUUUGGUAAGUCGGGUGUGAAAGGCCCGGGCUCAACCCGCGGACGGCACAUGAUACUGCGUGACUAGAGUAAUGGAGAGGGAAGCGGAAUUCUGGGUGUAGCGGUGAAAUGCGUAGAUAUCGGGAGGAACACUCGUGGCGAAGGCGGGUUCCUGGACAUUAACUGACGCUGAGGCACGAAGGCCAGGGGAGCGAAAGGGAUUAGAUACCCUGGUAGUC
rnacentral:rRNA from 1 species